rnacentral:rRNA from 1 species
CUGGCGGCAGGCCUAACACAUGCAAGUCGAACGGUAACAGGAAGCAGCUUGCUGCUUCGCUGACGAGUGGCGGACGGGUGAGUAAUGUCUGGGAAACUGCCUGAUGGAGGGGGAUAACUACUGGAAACGGUAGCUAAUACCGCAUAACGUCGCAAGACCAAAGAGGGGGACCUUCGGGCCUCUUGCCAUCAGAUGUGCCCAGAUGGGAUUAGCUAGUUGGUGGGGUAACGGCUCACCAAGGCGACGAUCCCUAGCUGGUCUGAGAGGAUGACCAGCCACACUGGAACUGAGACACGGUCCAGACUCCUACGGGAGGCAGCAGUGGGGAAUAUUGCACAAUGGGCGCAAGCCUGAUGCAGCCAUGCCGCGUUGUAUGAAGAAGGCCUUCGGGUUGUAAAGUACUUUCAGCGGGGAGGAAGGUGUUGUGGUUAGUAACCGCAGCAAUUGACGUUACCCGCAGAAGAAGCACCGGCUAACUCCGUGCCAGCCGCCGC